GACGAACGCUGGCGGCGUGCCUAAUACAUGCAAGUUGAGCGCUGAAGGUUGGUACUUGUACCAACUGGAUGAGCAGCGAACGGGUGAGUAACGCGUGGGGAAUCUGCCUUUGAGCGGGGGACAACAUUUGGAAACGAAUGCUAAUACCGCAUAAAAACUUUAAACACAAGUUUUAAGUUUGAAAGAUGCAAUUGCAUCACUCAAAGAUGAUCCCGCGUUGUAUUAGCUAGUUGGUGAGGUAAAGGCUCACCAAGGCGAUGAUACAUAGCCGACCUGAGAGGGUGAUCAGCCACAUUGGGACUGAGACACGGCCCAAACUCCUACGGGAGGCAGCAGUAGGGAAUCUUCGGCAAUGGACGAAAGUCUGACCGAGCAACGCCGCGUGAGUGAAGAAGGUUGUCGGAUCGUAAAACUCUGUUGGUAGAGAAGAACGUUGGUGAGAGUGGAAAGCUCAUCAAGUGACGGUAACUACCCAGAAAGGGACGGCUAACUACGUG
rnacentral:rRNA from 1 species